ensembl:snRNA U7 U7 small nuclear RNA
GAAAACUUGCUCUUAGUAUUUUUCUAGUAGGUUUCCUUUAAAAGGAAACCCAU